rnacentral:rRNA from 1 species
CCAUGCAUGUCUAAGUAUAAGCAAUUAUACCGUGAAACUGCGAAUGGCUCAUUAAAUCAGUUAUCGUUUAUUUGAUAAUACCUUACUACUUGGAUAACCGUGGUAAUUCUAGAGCUAAUACAUGCUGAAAAUCCCGACUUCGGAAGGGAUGUGUUUAUUAGAUAAAAAACCAAUGCCCUUCGGGGCUNUUUGGUGAUUCAUGAUAACUUUACGGAUCGCAUAGCCUUGCGCUGGCGACGGUUCAUUCAAAUUUCUGCCCUAUCAACUUUCGAUGGUAAGGUAUUGGCUUACCAUG